UACAGAGGUCCCAAGCGUUGUUCGGAUUCACUGGGCGUAAAGGGUGCGUAGGCGGUCGGGUAAGUCUGAUGUGAAAUCUCACAGCUUAACUGUGAAACUGCAUUGGAUACUAUUCGGCUUGAGAGUUGGAGGGGGGACUGGAAUUCUUGGUGUAGCAGUGAAAUGCGUAGAUAUUGGGAAGAACACCGGUGGCGAAGGCGGCGACCUGGUCCUUUACUGACGCUGAGGCGCGAAAGCGUGGGGAGCAAACAGG
rnacentral:rRNA from 1 species